rnacentral:lncRNA from 10 species
AUAUAAUAAAGUGGUUAAGUUUAUAAGUUCUGAAAUCAUACACUUUGUGAAUUCAAAUAAAAUUAUUUUUUAGUUCUGUGGUCUAGAAUAAGACAUGUAGAGAUUACAUGACUUAUACUUUCCUCAUCUUUAAUGUAGGGAUAGUAAUAGACUCUGCCUCAUAAAAUUGCUUUGAGGAUUAAAUUAAAUAAUGCAUGCCUAAGGUUUUGGCCUGAUUUCUGACUCAAUAACUAUUAGUUCCUGUUGUUGUUGUUGUUGAAAUAAAAAUUUAAUUAGAAAAAAAUUUUAGGCCAGGCACGGUGGCUCAUGCCUGUAAUCCCAACACUUUGGGAGGCCAAGGUGAGUAGAUUGCCUGAGGUCAGGAGUUCAAGACCAGCCUGGCUAACAUGGUGAAACCCCGUCUCUACUAAAAAUACAACAACUAGCUGGACAUGGUGGUGCAUGCUUGUAGUCCCAGCUACUUGGGAGGCUGAGGCAGAAGAAUCACUGGAACCCGGGAGGCAGAGGCUGUAGCGAGCCAAGAUCGAGCCACUGCACUCCAGCCUGCGUGACAGAGCAAGACUCUAUCUCAAAAAAAAAAAAAGAAAAGAAAAAAAUUUUAAGUGACUUAUACUGAGAGUGCUUCAGAUCAAAACCCAUGUAAAAAGAGACCCAAAGGAAAAUUAAUAGCUUUAAAUGAAUUUCUAAGAAAACAAUAUGUUAGAAAAAAGUAUAAUUUUAACUUGUGAAGUUUUAUAAAGAUUAAAUAAGCACAAUGAAGGGAUUAUUAAAGGUAAAAUCAGAAAUUAUUAAAACAAGAAAAAUAUCCAGUAGAAUUAGUCAAUGAUAAUAAAAAAAAAAAAUACUAAUUACCAAAAUUACCUCAGAAAGAAGAAGAAAUCCUAAAAGACUAUAAAAGAAAUUGAAAACAGAGUCAGAUAUUUAGCCUUUAAAAAAAAAGACACCAGGUCCAGUUGAUUUAAUGGGUGAUUUUACUGAAAUUUCAAAAAUUCAAUAAUUCUAAGAAGCAGAUUAUUCCCAAAUUAUAUAAAUAAUCCCAAAUCCCAAAACAUAUAAAAGAAUGGAAGACUACUUGGUUUGUUUUGCCUAGCUAAAAUAACACUGGUUCUCAAAUUUAACUAUAAUAACAAAAAAGAAAAUAACUCAAUCUCAGUAGUAUACGCACCUGAAACAUCCUAAAUAUAAGAUGACAAAUUGAACGCAAUAGUGUCAUAGGCAGAAUAAUGACCACCCCCUAAAGAUGUGCAUGUUCUAAUCUGCUGAAAGUUUGAAUAUGUUAGGUUACACACCCAAGAGGAAUUAAGGUUGCAGACAUAAUUAAGGUUGCUAAUCAGAUGACUUUAAGAUAUGGAGAUUUUCAUGGACUAUUGGGGUAAGCCCAGUGUAAUAAAAAGGGUCAUUAAUAAGUGGAAGAAGGAGGCAGAAGAGAUAAUCAAAGAGAUGUUGGCAUGAGAAGGAUUUGAGUCAACUUCAAGAUAGAGGAAUGGGCCAUGAAUCAAAGGAUGUGUGUGGCCUCUAGAAGCUGGAAAAAGCAAGGAAAUAGAUUCGCCUAUAAAGCCUCCAGAAGAAAUGCAACCCUGCCAAUACCAUAAUUUUAGCCCAGUGAGACCUGUGCUAGACUUUUGACCAAGGUAAGAUACUAAACUUAAGUUGUUUUAAGCCAUUAAAUUUGUGGCAAUUUGUUAUUAGCAGCAAUAGAAAACUAAUAAAGAUUAUGGUACCAGUAGUGGAGUGUUUGGCCAGCUACCUGGUGACAAGUUGAUUGUAAUGGACUACUUUCCAUUGUGGAAGGGGAAGUACUGUAUUCUUGCUGGAAUAAACCCUCUGGAUAUGGAUUUAUUUCCCCUAUGCACAAUGCUUCUACCAAAGCUGCUAUGUGUGAACUUACAGAAUGCCUUGUCCACUUUCACAAUACUCCAUACAGCAUUGCUUUUAAUCAAGGAAGUAAAUUCACAGCAAAUGAAUUGCAACAAUGGUCCCAGACUCAUGGAAUUCAUUGGUGUUAGCAUAUAUCUCCAUCACGCAGAAGAAGAAAGAGAAAAAGGGGGCAGAUAACUUAUUUGAAGAAAUAAAGGCCAAAACCUAUCCACAUCUGAAGAGCAGGAUAGAUAUACAAAUUCAGGAGCUCAGAUAACUCCAACUAAGAUAAAUCUAAAGAGACGUACACUGAGACAUGUCAUAAUCAAAAGUCACAGACAAAGAGAAAAUCUUGAAAGUAGCAACUAUUAGUAUAUCAGCAGAUUUCUCAACAGAAACCUUACAGGUUAGAAGGGAGUGGGGUGAUAUAUUUAAAAUAGUGGGGGAGAAAAAAGCUGCCAUCCAAAAAUACCAUAUCUGGCAAAACUAUUCUUCAAAAAAUAAAGGAGAAAUUAAGAUUUUUCCUAGAUAAACAAAACCUGAAGUAGUUUAUCACCACUUAACCUAUCCUAUAAGAAAUGCUGAAGGGAGUUCUUCAAGGUGAAUCAAAAAGAUAAUAAAGAGCAACACAAAACCAUAUGAAAAUAUUGAACUCCCUGGUAAAGGUAAAUAUAUAGAUAAAUAUAGAAUCCUACAGUAUUAUAAUGUAGGCAUGUAAAUCACUUUUAAAUGUGGUAAAGAAUUUAAAAACCCAAAGCAUAAAAAGUAAUUAUAAAAUUAUGUUCAUGAAUAUGCAAUACAAAAAGGUAAUUUGUAUCAUUAACAACGUUAAGUGGGGAGGGUAGAGAUGUAAAAAAGUAGAGUUUUAAUACAUGGCUGAAGUUAGGCUGUUUUUAGUUUCAAAUAGAUUGUUAGAACUUUAAGAUGUUUUAUGUAAUUGCAAUGGUAACCACAAAGAAAACAUUUAUAGAAUAAUACACAAAGGGAAAUGAGAAGGGAGUGAAAACAUGUCAGUA